UUAAUUCCUUGUCUAUUUCCGAGUUCAAUUUGAAAGUUAUUCAUCCACGACAUUUGCUUCAUUUUGCAGAUCAUCUAUAUCCAUGGCUUCAAGAAACUGUACGGACAGACCAAGAAAGUGUUGGUGGAUGCCGUGAAUACGCUUGAUCUAAUGGAUUUGCCGAGAUCCACACUCAACCAGAGGGUGUCUGCCUCCGCGACUCUCCCAUUGGAGGACGUAAUCGCUGAUCUCAACGAACUAGGCUGGCAAGAGUGCUGUGUUACCUCUGUUUACACCCUCAGUUCUUGCCCAGAGAACUCCCUCCCUCUUGAGCAGAAACCGCAAGUCACCAAACACUUGCAGAGCAGUUCUCGAACCAAGACUUCGGAAAAGUCAAUGGACGCUAAUAAAAUCAGUGGCGUCCUCCCUAAAGCUUCCCAAAAUGGCCGGCGAGCCCCGAAAAUGGCGAACAAGCGCAAGAGGAUCAAUGGCUGUGAUGCUCUUGACUGUGCUUCGACCAUGGAUUCGGCCGUCUCGCUCGCCUCUAAUUGAAUGUGAUGUUGGAUUACAUAGUAGCUGGAGAAUGCAUCCACAACUUUAUAUCAAUAUUAUUUCCAUGUCCCGGUGGUCAAGCUCAAAGGGAAUUGAAGUUAGGCUACCAAAAAGAACAAUGAAUUUGUUUACUGGCGACGUACGAACUCUACAUCAAAGAUAGAGAUUGGCGAUGAGGACCGAGACUACCAUUCCAGUGGCUUCACGUAGUGCCAGCACUGUUCUCAC